UACGUAGGGUGCAAGCGUUGUCCGGAAUUAUUGGGCGUAAAGAGCUCGUAGGCGGUCUGUUGCGUCGGCUGUGAAAACCCGAGGCUCAACCUCGGGCCUGCAGCCGAUACGGGCAGACUAGAGUUCGGCAGGGGAGACUGGAAUUCCUGGUGUAGCGGUGAAAUGCGCAGAUAUCAGGAGGAACCACCGGUGGGCGAAGGCGGGUCUC
rnacentral:rRNA from 1 species